GUGAAUUCCAUCUUCGAAGAGAUCUCUUCUAACUCUCAACCUUCACAUCAUCACACGAACGAUUCAAUCACUCUUCCAUACGAUGCAACAAUCCAAAAAAUCGCUGAAAAAGAGAAAAACCUCAGCAAAUUGCUAAAAGAACUUUCAAUUGUCGAUUCUUCGCUGGAAGAGGAGAAAGCAAGCUUCGAGAAGACUCAAUCUGCAUUACUCAAGGAGAAGGGAAAAAUUGAAAAGGAUAAGCUCAUGUUGAGAGAAGAAGCUCAGAAACAGGCCAGCAUGAAUGCGGAGGUAUAAGCGAUGAAAUUCCAAAAACACGGUCAGAGUCUAUAGUCUUACCGCUACCAAAAUCAGGAAAGCCAAAAGCUGCUCUUGGUUUUUUAUAUAUCGGUAAUAUGCCAAACAUAUGUCGCUUAAAUGAAAGAUACAUUUUUACUAGGACUCGAAAACGAACCAAGAUUUGGCGGCGCCAGAUUAAGUGUUGAAACAAUGCCGGAUAUUAUGUAAUAUUUUAGUUUUUAAGUUCUAAAAAAAACGUAAAGCUAAUGACAUUGAUAUAUAAAACUUUUAUAAGAUCUAGACUUGAAUAUGGCACAGUAAUCAGUGUUGCCCAGGUGCAAGGUGAAAGGUUCAUAGACUAUAGACUAUGUAAAAUCUAUUUAACUAUUUGCUUCUGAGAAAUUCCGAGAUUUACCAGCUAACAACCCGAUCUUUUGACUUUUUACUGAAAAACCACUAAUUUUGAAUUUUUACGAAUUGAAAAAUUCAUAUACAUACUAUAUAGGCAUCUUCAAAUGAUGAUUUUGGUCUUGUUAAAACGCUACGAGUUUGAUCAAUCAGUUUAUGAACUUCUAUUCGAUUUCUUUGCUAUCCACCGUUUAAAGCUUUUUUUUGUUGUUUCCAGUACAAUCUCGAAAAACUCACUCAUGCUCAUGAGCAACGCAAAGACAGUUCAACACGUUUUUAUUCACUUUUUUAAAACAUUAGAGAGGCCGUGGUCUCCGUUUUCUUUUGCGGGACCUCAAGACAUAUCGCUGCAAGAACCUGGCGCGAAAUUCAAAUUUUAUAUCAUCAAAAAGUUUCGCGCGCGAAAUUCUAAGUUUCUCAAAAAAGUUUGCAUUGGCCCGUUGCUCAUGUCAAUAACUAUUGAGAUCCACGUUCCUAUCCAAACCCCAAAAAUGUUGAACGUUUUUAUUAACAAAAAUGUAAAAUAGAUUCGAUAUCUCUCUAAUAACUUGAAAUUAUUUCCAGAUGACUACAAUUGUUGAUAGUGUUUUUAACAAUGAAGCGAUCGUGUCCAGAGUGUUGGAAAAAACUUCAAAAAAUUCUAUUAGCAAUUUGGAUUUGAGG
rnacentral:sRNA from 1 species